UGAAAACCGACCGUUACAAUUUAAAAUCGCUCACUCACGAUACUCUCGUGCGCUGACGUAACCACUUCACGUUAAACAGACGGCAGGAAGCACGCGGACAGGUUGAUGGCAGCCACUGGUAAAAGAAGAAACGAGAAGAAGAAGGAGAAGGAGAAGAAACUGCUGCUGCUAAAGCUGGCACCGCCAAUCUCCAAGUUUGAGAGUUAAAAGGAGGAGCUUGAGCGGAAGAGCUUUCCCGUCCUCUCUGUGUGUUCUGCUGCCUCGAUGACCCCGCAGCUGAACUCCUCUUCUGGCAGGUCUCAGAUGUGCAAGCCCACUCUGGCCAGUAAAAGAGAGUGUGCGCUGUGUGGGCCGGAGUUUCUGUCUUGUACAGCAAGCAUUAGUCAUCCAGGUUGGUGGAUGGAGAGAACAAGUAACUCAGUUCAAUGCAUCUCAUCACAGCUCUCCACUAAUCUCGGCUAGACAGUCUCGGUCCAUUUUGGGUCAUGGAGAAGAAAUGAAAAUAAAAACAAGAAAGAGCCAAACAGGGGCGGGUAUCCGUUUGCGGAAAAGUAGGAAGGCACCGAGUCCAACUAUGGCUAUUACAACUAGUACAACAGCCACGGUGAUGCCUGCAGAGCCGUGUGAAGCUUCUUUAACGACAUGAGCUUUGGAGGAAAAACAGAGAAAAACAUUAACAGUGACAUAACUCAAUGUUUUAGAAUUAUACUGGUAUAUAAAGCUUACUUAUAUAAAACAACUUACCAACAGCUGGUGGCUUUUCUGUUGGGAGAAUAUCUGAAAAAAGAACAAAUACUCCAUGUAAGAAGCUAAUAGAUCACCCAAAGCUACAUCACAGCUUAAAGAUAACAUACCUUUAGCCCUUUUGCAGAUGUAACAUCCACUUCUAUAGCAUCUUUUUGUAUUCCACUGUCCACUUUCAGAGUUGAUUUCCACACAUAGAUCAGACUGUGGCAUCCCCUUUUUCCAGUUGGUGUAGUCCACAACACUGUUAUCUAUCCACUUCCACUCACCUUUAUCAAAUAACAAGAAGUAAAAGGCACAGAUCAGUCUUUCAAUUUUGGACAAUAUUGGGAAUACAAAAGUAUUUCAUAAGUUUUCCGAUCUUGUUUAAGCCUGAGACUGUUUGGAUGCAAAGAUUUUAAACAAAAUGUUCUUAAGAAUUCAAUCACCUUCGUGAGUUUUGUAGAGGCCGAUCCAGAAGGACUUGGCACUAUCCUGUAGAAGGUGGACGUUUUGCUGUAUGAACGUAGCCUCCUGACGGUCUUCAAUACUGACCAGGGAAGAGUCUGAUAAACACAGCCACAUAAGAAAAACUCUCCAGAUUGUAUACACAUAUAGUUCAUUAUUUCAUGGUGAACAUCAUCUUCAUAUUUACCCCUCUUCAGACAUUCAACUGAGGCAGAGGCCCAACUUCCAUCGUAAUAGCUCAAGAAGGAGUAACAAUGGCCUCUGAAAGGUAUCCAUUCUGUUUGCCGUUUUGAUUCUGGACACUUGCCAGGUAGUUGUGGGGGCUCAGUUGGUGCUAUGUCUACAAAGGAGACAGAACAUGGCAUUUAUUAACAUGCUUAGUGUUCAUGUACUCUAAACAAUAUAUUGCAGUAGAGCAAAAAAAAACAACAAUUUACUGACCUGGUGACAUCUUACAGAUUGAAUAGUAGGUACCGGUGCAUGACCCAGUCUUCCAUCUUCCAUCCACAUCAAUAUAAACACAAGCAUAGUUGUUUUUAGGCUCGUCUAUGCCCCAUCUGGUGUACGACAGGAGCCAGUUAUCGACCCACUUGUACCGCCCAUUUGUCUGUGGAAAUAAUGAGUUGUUACAUGAGUGGAAGUUUAUUCAGACCUCAAAGUUCCCGGUAAAACUUUUGAAAUCCUGUUUAAAAUGUUGCCAUACAGUAACAGGUAAGCCCUUUACCACGUUGCUGUUGAGGCCGAUCCACACUGGCUCAUUGUGCUUGGAAAUCUGCAAGGUGAUGUAAGCCUGGCUUAUGGGGGUCAGGAUACUGGCAAGAUCGGCAUCGUCUGCUUGGCACUGCCUCCGCGCCUCAUCCCAUUUCAUCUUCUGGGCCACCAGUUUAUACGAGUCGUUGCCAAGUUUGAAGAAAGCCUUUGGUUGCACAGUCGUGGGUGGUACUACAAUCUGAGAAUCUUAGUUGACAAGAAAUAUCAGUUGUCAUUGACUGUGUCUCUGGUUGGCAUUCACACCAGGCUUGAUGAAUAAUCCAAUCAGUGUAACUCAUGUGAUUGUAGCCUUGCUGAAAUAUUACUCACCAACAUUUCUU